UGAAAGCCUUGGCCAGGUCGAUGAGGAUGUGGUGAUUGACAGAGUCGAAAGCCUUGGCCAGGUCGAUGAGGAUGUGGUGAUUGACAGAGUUGAAAGCCUUGGCCAGGUCGAUGAGGAUGUGGUGAUUGACAGAGUUGAAAGCCUUGGCCAGGUCGAUGAGGAUGUGGUGAUUGACAGAGUUGAAAGCCUUGGCCAGGUCGAUGAGGAUGUGGUGAUUGACAGAGUUGAAAGCCUUGGCCAGGUCGAUGAAGAUUGCUGCACAGUGUACUGUCUUUUGUCGAUGGCGGUUAUGAUAUCAUUU
ensembl:lncRNA